AACGAACGCUGGCGGCGUGCCUAACACAUGCAAGUCGAACGUGAUUAGAGAGCUUGCUCUCUAUGAAAGUGGCGCACGGGUGAGUAACGCGUAGAUAAUCUGCCUGAUGAUCCGGGAUAACACUUCGAAAGGGGUGCUAAUACCGGAUAAGCCCACGGGGUCCUUGGACUCUGCGGGAAAAGGGGGGGAUCGCAAGACCUUCCGUCAUCAGAUGAGUCUGCGUACCAUUAGCUAGUUGGUAGGGUAAAGGCCUACCAAGGCGACGAUGGUUAGCUGGUCUGAGAGGAUGAUCAGCCACACCGGAACUGAGACACGGGCCAGACUCCUACGGGAGGCAGCAGUGGGGAAUUUUGCGCAAUGGGGGAAACCCUGACGCAGCAACGCCGCAUGAGUGAUGAAGGCCCUUGGGUCGUAAAGCUCUGACAGAGGGAAAGAAGUGUACGGAGGCUAAUACCCUUUGUACUUGACGGUACCCUCAAAGGAAGCACCGGCUAACUCCGUGCCAGCCGCCGCCGUAAUAC
rnacentral:rRNA from 1 species